CCAAGGUUAAAUAAUCCAUGCUGUUAUUUUGAAAUAUUCUGUGCUGUUAUUUUGAAAGGGUUGUUUCCUCUGCCAGCGUCUACUUCCUGUUUAUUAGCAUUAGCCUUUUUGCAUGUCGAGAUGCUGGCUCGGCCGACCAAUCAGCUUCCACCUAGUUGACCUACACACGUGGGAUUCCCUUUUCUUGAGCAGCUAGGAGCGAGAGCAGCUAUAGAGACACACAGCAGUGAAACAAAGACAGAAAAAACUAUAAAAGUUGAUUAAAAUUGAUAAAAAAACGGCUGGAUAACUUCACCGCAAUCCCGUGAGAGAACGGCGAGAAGGACCUGUCCUCACUAGAGGAAAAAACGCAUUGGUCAGGUUUUUUUGUGGAUCCCGAGAGUUCCCGACCUACCUGGAGUUGGAUCUUGGAUGUUUGAUGGCGAGCUACGGCCCAAUGGAAAAGAAUUAGAGACUCGAUUGCAUGCAGAAGAUUGGAACCCUGAACCCCAGAAACUUUGCUUCCACACACACAGUCAACGCAUUCGACAGUGCGGUAGGACAAACAGUUGCCACUUUUCCAGUGGACUGAGCAGUAUUAUCUGCUACAAGGACUAAGUGAUUGAGUUGAAGGGGUUAAGUUGAACAUUGAAUCCAAAGACCAUUGAUACAGCUGUGAAGUAUUUUUUAUUUUUUAUUUUUAUACUUACCCGGGUAAGAAUUGUACUAUAUACUGUAUAACUGUGUUUUCUACUCAUCCUUCCCUGUUUUUAUUAAAUGGGAAGAACAGUUCUUUCUCAAAGGAGAGAUACUGUAUCCGAGUUGUU